UUGUUUUUGUCCCCAUUAUUGGGUAAUUAGAUAUACUCUUCCCCCAUUUUGCUUUUUCUCUCUAAAAUAAGUUGGAAACCCACUCGUUAUAUUUCCUUUAAACAAACAAACAUAAUAGAUCCAAUAAAAAAGCAAAACCCCGAACCAAUCGUUGUCGGGAUCAGAUCGGCCACCAAAUCCGUGAGGUUUUUGAUUUAUUCAAAACCGGUCCUGAUUGAACAAGUUGGACCAAUUAAAAAAAAAAAAUUUAUAUAAUAGCAUAAAAAUAUAAAAUACAUUAAAAAUUGUCUCAACUUUAUUUAAAUGAUAUUAAAACCAAUACAACCAAAACUAAUCAAAUCAAUAAUUUUAUUUGUUUUCGAUCGAACUCAAUUUUUACGUCUAACCCCUAAUAGAUAGUGGGACAGAAGUGACGCGUUGAUAAGAUAGAUCGAACAUAGAUUCAACCCUCUCAUUGAAAGUUGAGAAAAAGUAGAGUAAAGCAACCAUAGAAACUUCAGAGGAGGAGUCACCGUACAUACAAUACCCAACAUAUUUGAAAGCAUCGCAAUCGCCAAUACUUCGAUACCAAUUGUGAAUGGUCAUUAGCUGUCUUCUUCUUCUUCUUGGAAAUUGACGGUGAGGAUGAGAUCUGGGGCACUCGAAGAGGAAAGUUGGUUAGUAAAUAAUUAAUAUCUCUGAUUUUGUGGUUUGCUUUGGAGCGAGUAAAUCAAUGAUGAUUUGUUCGACAAUUAAGUAUUAGUAACUUAAUUUUAAGAGAUUUAAUAUGUGUUUAUAAAGAAAGGCAACACCCUUUGUAGUGAGGAGAGAUUGUCGACAUUCUUUUUUAUGGGGUAAAUAAUUGUCG
rnacentral:lncRNA from 1 species